rnacentral:rRNA from 1 species
GACGAACGCUGGCGGCGUGCUUAACACAUGCAAGUCGAACGAUGAUGCCCAGCUUGCGGGGUGGAUUAGUGGCGAACGGGUGAGUAACACGUGAGUAACCUGCCCCUGACUCUGGGCUAAGCGUUGCAAACGACGUCUAAUACUGGAUAUGACUGCCGGCCGCAUGGGCGGGUGGGUGAUAGAUUUAUUGGUUGGGGAUGGACUCGGGGGCUAUCAGCUUGUUGGUGAGGUAAUGGCUCACCAAGGCGAAGACGGGUAGACGGCCUGAGAGGGUGACCGGCCACAGUGGGACUGAGACACGGCCCAGACUCCUACGGGAGGCAGCAGUGGGGAAUAUUGCACAAUGGGCGAAAGCCUGAUGCAGCAACGCCGCGUGAGGGAUGACGGCCUUCGGGUUGUAAACCUCUUUUAGUAGGGAAGAAGCGAAAGUGACGGUACCUGCAGAAAAAGCACCGGCUAACUACGUGCCAGCCGCCGCAGUAA